rnacentral:lncRNA from 1 species
AGUUGUCAUGGUUUUGUAACUUCGCUAUUGGUAUUCCACAUCAUAACAUCAUGGACAAAAGAGAAGAACUACGUAUCCCAGAGGACCUCACGGUCAGAGAAGGAAGACACAUCACGGAAGAUACGUCAUCUGGUUGCGCGCGGUGCUUCUUCACUUUCGCUUGCUGCCGGGAGAGGAGUGGGUGUGCUUUCCAAGCCGGGCGCCUUCAUCAAGGUUUUCAAGGGAUACUGAUGCACACGAAACAUGAGGGAACGGAACUGCUGAGCAAACAGAAAUGCAGAAUCUUUGUUUAAUACUAGAAAUUCAACAAACACAUCGGAAUCCAAAGCGGAGAAAGAAUAAACUAGAAGGCGUAAUACAAAGUAUCCAGCCAUUAUGAUCUCUGUUAUCUCUAAAAUAAAAAAUAGAAAUGGAAAAGAAAAAUAUUUCAGUGCAUUUUGUUGUAGAUACCUAUUGUGCUGUAUGUGGAAGGACUGCCUUAUUGAGCAGAACAAAGUUGAUAAUUUCACUAACUUGUGUUGCUUUGCAAAUAUGUGACCAAAGUGUGAAUUGAGUGUGAAUUAGUUUUCAAGUGCAAGUUAGCACAUAGUAAAAUAUUAAGGUUUCC